UACGUAGGGGGCGAGCGUUGUCCGGAUUUAUUGGGCGUAAAGAGCGUGUAGGCGGCCAGGUAGGUCUGCUGUGAAAACUCGAGGCUCAACCUCGAGACGUCGGCGGAAACCAUCUGGCUAGAGUCCGGAAGAGGAGAGUGGAAUUCCUGGUGUAGCGGUGAAAUGCGCAGAUAUCAGGAGGAACACCAAUUGCGAAGGCAGCUCGCUGGGACGUCACUGACGCUGAGACGCGAAAGCGUGGGGAGCAAACAGG
rnacentral:rRNA from 1 species